rnacentral:tRNA from 1 species
UGGCCGCCGCAGCCGUGGUCGCUGCACUGCUGUCCACGGCGGCGUGCGGCGGCGGCAACGACGACGACGGGGGCGGUUCGAAGACCGGCGCGGCCGGC